UACAGAGGGUGCAAGCGUUAAUCGGAAUUACUGGGCGUAAAGCGCACGCAGGCGGUUGGUUAAGUCAGAUGUGAAAGCCCCGGGCUCAACCUGGGAAUUGCAUUCAAAACUGGCUAACUAGAGUAUGUGAGAGGGGGGUAGAAUUCCAAGUGUAGCGGUGAAAUGCGUAGAGAUUUGGAGGAAUACCAGUGGCGAAGGCGGCCCCCUGGCACACUACUGACGCUGAGGUGCGAAAGCGUGGGGAGCAAACAGG
rnacentral:rRNA from 1 species